CGGGCGAUGUGUACAUAUUUUAGAGCUUUAAUCAUCUUAAAAAAAUCUAAAAAAUUACUCUCAAAUCCAAAUUCAAAUUUUUUUAACAAAAAUUAUUUUAAAAUAAAUUUAUUGUAACCCAUUUCUUCUUUAUUAUAAACUACACCUUGAUCUGAUUUAUUUUUUAAUAAAAAAUUUUAAAUAUUUAUAAUUCUAUUAAAAUAUUUAAACUACGACGAUAUAUAAACUAAUAAAUAAAGUGCAUCUAAUCGUGGACUAUCGAUUAUAGAACAGGUUCCUCUGAAAAGACUAAAAUACCGCCAAAUUUUUUAAUUUUCAAGAACAUAACUAAUACUAAUUAAGUAAAAAAAUUUACAUUUUUAAUAAUAGGGUAUCUAA
rnacentral:rRNA from 1 species